rnacentral:lncRNA from 1 species
CGCUGUGAGAUUUAGCAGCGGGAUCGGGCUGCAGCAGCUUCAGCUGAUUAAGAUCUGGAUAUACGGGGAUUUUUCUAAAAGAAAGGGUGCUGUGGUCUUGGCCAGCUGCUCAGUGGUUGGGGGUGGGCUUCUCUGGUUACCCAGCCUUCAGCACCUCUCUCUGGGGAAGCCUGGAGCUGGACAGAGGCCUCUGUGAAUCUCACCAGGGCAGGUCUGACUGAUGUAUGUCUAAUAGAAUUACUAAACCGUGUCCUGUGGUGCAGUCUAUCAGGCUGAUGGGAUAGAGGAGAUGAAAGAAAAGACAGUGUGUGUUGCGACAGAGGCAUCCCAUCCACUUCUCAGAGACACAGAGAUAUGGUGGCACUUCAGCAUUAGAGGUAAUU